UAAAUCAUCCAGACAGAAAGGCAAUAAGGCAACAGAGGUUCUAAAUAACACAUUAGACCAGUUAAAAUUAAUUGAUAGCUACAAGAUGCUGCAUCUAAAAAAUCAAAAUAAGACUUUCUUGGUCGUACAGUGGAUAAGAAUCCACCUGUCAGUUCAGGGAACAUGAGUUCUAUCCCUGGUCCAGGUAGAUUCCACAGGCUCCAGAGCAAGUAAGUCCAUGUGCCACAACUACUGAGCCAAGAUGAAGCAACUACUGAGGAUAACAAACCCUAGAGCCAGCAAGUUAUAACUGCUGAGCAUGUGUGAUGCAACUUUUGAAGCCCAUGCACCUACAGCCUCUGCUCCCCAACAAGAGAAGACACCACAAAGAGAAGCCCAUGAACCACAAGUAGAGAAUAGCCCCUACUCUCUGCAGCUAGAGAGAAAGCUCACAUGCAGCAACAAAGACCCAGUGCAACCAAAUUAAAGAAAUAAAAACAAGCAAACCAAAACCAAAAAAGCAGAAUUCACAUUUUCUCAAGUGUGCAUGUAAUGCUCUCUAGGACAGAUCACAUGCUAGGUCACAAAACAAGCCUCAAUAAAUUAGGAGGAUAGACAUUAUUAUAUCAAGCAUCUUUUUUGAUCAUAAUAAUAUGAAAUUAAAAAGCAACAUUAAGAAGAAACAUGGGAGACAAACAAACACACAGAGAUAAACAACAUGCUAAUAAAAAGAACUAAAAAGCAAUGGGGUGAUGGUGAAAUCAAAGAAGAAAUUAGAAAAUGAGACAAAAGAAAAUGAAGACACAGCUUUACAACAUGUAUGGGAUGCGAUGUACCAAAAUAACUUCUAACAGGGAAGUUGAUAGAGAUAAGGUGUUUCUAAAGAAUCAAAAAAUGUCUCAAAUAAAUGAACUAACCUACCACCUAAAAGAAUUAUAAAAAAAGAAUGAACAAGCCCAAAGUCAACAGAUUAAAGGAAAUAAUAAAGAUCAGAGAGGAAAUUUUAAAAAUAGAGAUAAAUUAGAAAGAACAAUAAAAACAAGAGAUGUGUUUUUGAAAAGAUAAAAUUAGAUCUCUCACCAGGCUCAUCUAGAAGAGAGAGGAUGCAAAUAAACAAAAUGAUAAAUAAGAGUGGAAAUAACAACUGAUACUACAGAAAUAUAAAAAAAAUCAUAAGAGAAUACUAUGAACAAUUAUAUGUCAACAAAUUGAACAACCUAGAAGAAAGGGACAAAUUUCUAGAAACAUACAGCCUGCCAAGAAGAAAGAGUCAAUCUUCUUGACAACAGUCAAGAAGAAAGAGACAAUCACUAGAAGUGAAAUAAAAUCUGUAAAAACAAAACAAAGCAAAAAACCAGUUCCCUGAAGACAGAAGUCCAGGACUGAAUGACUUCACCAGGAAAUUCUACCAAACAGACAAAGGAGAACUUAUACCUAUUUUCAAACUAUUAAAAAAAAAAAAAAAACUGAAAAGGAGGAAACACUUCCAAAUUCAUUCAAUGAUGUCACCAACAUCAGAAAACACCAACACCAACACCAGAAAAAGAAUAUUGCAGGUUUUUUCUUCAGGCAGGUUCUUUACCAUCUGAGCCUCCAGGGAAGCCCAUAUCUCAACAAAAUAAAGACCAUUUAUGACAAAUCCACAGCUAACAUAAUAUUCAAGAUUGAAAAACUGAAACCCUUCCUGCUAAAACCUGAAACAAGACAAGGAUGCCCACUUUCACCACUUCUUUUCAGUGUAGAAUUGGAAGCCCUAUC
ensembl:lncRNA